GACGAACGCUGGCGGCGUGCUUAACACAUGCAAGUCGAACGGAAAGGCCCUGCUUUUGUGGGGUGCUCGAGUGGCGAACGGGUGAGUAACACGUGAGUAACCUGCCCUUGACUUUGGGAUAACUUCAGGAAACUGGGGCUAAUACCGGAUAGGAUCUCCUGCUGCAUGGUGGGGGUUGGAAAGUUUCGGCGGUUGGGGAUGGACUCGCGGCUUAUCAGCUUGUUGGUGGGGUAGUGGCUUACCAAGGCUUUGACGGGUAGCCGGCCUGAGAGGGUGACCGGCCACAUUGGGACUGAGAUACGGCCCAGACGCCUACGGGAGGCAGCAGUGGGGAAUAUUGCACAAUGGGCGGAAGCCUGAUGCAGCAACGCCGCGUGCGGGAUGACGGCCUUCGGGUUGUAAACCGCUUUCGCCUGUGACGAAGAGUGAGUGACGGUAAUGGGUAAAGAAGCACCGGCUAACUACGUG
rnacentral:rRNA from 1 species